AUGCACACCUUAACGUAAUCUGUCUUUUCAGUCAGUGCCCCUUAGACGGCUGCGAUGAUAUCUUUCGAAACCACAUCCACCAUUUUAGACAGCAUGAUAUCACCAAACUCAAAACCCCUGGAUUGUACCGAAAGAUGUUGGCAAAGUUGCAGGCGCAACCAAACUUGGACAAAGCAGAGGUUUCACACCCUAGCCCUCAAGUAAUGCAGGUCAUUUCGGACGGUGAAGAUGAAGAACAUGCUACAUACCAUYCAACUCCAUCUAAACCCAAACACCCACCUAAACCUGCUAAAUCAGUUGGAAAWAAAAAGGAGGCUGCGAGGAAGUACCCUGAAAAAGCACAUCGCCAAAGAUGGAGUUCUGAUGACAACAAAAUUAUCAAGUCAARCGUCGAGGAUAUGCUGACAAAACACGUCUGUCCUACAAGACACGAAAUAAUCAACCGCUUUACAUAUAAUCCAAAUCUGCGCUCUUUUUUCGUUAACAAAAGCCCCAAGCAAAGAGAACGGUGCAUUGAGAAAGUUAAGACACUCUUCAACUCAGAAAAUCUAAAAAAGUAGGCCUCCAAAUUCMAAUUUGGUGACUCUUAUCCAUAUAAAACACCCUAUUUAAUACAACUAAAACAACGAAUACAAUUGCAGCAGCAUAUUGGAAAGGAUGAAAAAGGUUCAAUUGACGCCUUGUUGCUGUGAAGUAGUAGUGAAAAACGUCUAAGCUUUCGCUGUCCGUACGGCUUCAUCAGAGACUGACUAGAGAAAUGUUAGCUAAGUGUUUAAAAGAAAAGCUUAGACGUUUUUCACUACUUAACAGCAACAAGGCCUCAAUUGAACCUUCUCCAACUAAAACAACAUUCAACACAAACAAUUACAGAUGACAUUCAGGGUUUUAUAAUAAACAAUAUGCCUACUGCUCAUGUCAAUGGCGAUGACAGGAUAGUGUCAAAUCUGCAAGGACAGUUUACAAUACAAAAGAUUUCUAGAGAAUGAAAAUGCAUAGUACCAAUAAUAAUAAUGACACAUAAUGAGAGAUAAAUUGCAUUUAUUCAUGCAAAUACAGUCAAAUCCAUAAGGAGUACGGCAAGAUAACUGUAAAGCAUUAAUUAAGAAUAAAAGAAAUAAAGACAAAAAAUACAACACAAACAAUAAGGAUAAUUGAAAACUGGAUAAGUAAUCUAUGUCUUUUUUUCUAAAAUAAAGCAUCCAGCUUUCAAACUACACCAGCUCCUUAUAGAUCUGUAAAUUAGGUAUUGUCAUUCAACUUAUUUUUUUAAAGUGGAAUCUAAAUAUAUAAACUAAUACAUGUAAUACCUAAUUACCAAAAAACAGGAUAUMCAUUAAUUACAAAUGACUAGUUGUCUCUAGCUUAAACUUUUAAAAACAGGGAUUUCGAUCUGGUCUAUUAUUAAAAAAUUAAGCUAGAGACAACUAGACAUUUAUGUAAACUAUGGAUCCUAGCUGUAACAGCCAUAUCUUUACAGGAUAUACAUUUCUUUGAUUGGAUAUAGCCUGUUAUAUACUAGAGCAAAAUAUAACAUUUCAAAAUGUACUAUGCAAAGCUGCAAAAGUGGUAUUUUUGAUUGCCUUUGCUCAGCAAUGCACCACAGGUGGCUGGUGAGCCAAUUACCUCUUUGGAAUUUGUGUGAAAGUGAAAAUUAAAUGCAGCUUGUUAAACAAUCAGAUUUUAGUCAACACAAUGUAUAACAAUUUCCUUCGGGACCAUAUUAUAGAAUAAGUUUAGAUUACUGGUAGUUAUCUAAUUUUGGGUGAGGACCUAUACGGCUCUAAUACCAGAGCAUUGUCACUGCCUCUUAGAGUGGCCCGCAUUAAAUUGGUUUCUGGUAGGGGAAAAUACUUUCCUUUCUCAAGAAACCUAGAUGAUGGACUGAAUGACAAAGGUGCUGGUUCAGGAUGUUUCAAAUGUAUGGUUGUUAUUAAAGUGCAGACAAACCCUGGAGGAAUAGGAUGACCAUCAAGACUGUUCAUGUCAGGUUUCAAAAAGCCAGCAGCAACUGUUGCACCAUUUUUCACAUAACAUACCAUUUCUGAUGGGUUAACAGCUGUUUGGUGGAUGCUUGUUGAUGAUGUGUUUACAGUUGUUGGAUGGUGGACAGCAGAUGAUGAUGUGUUUACAGUUGUUGGAUGGUGGACAACAGAUGAUGAUG